rnacentral:tmRNA from 1 species
GGGGCUGACUUGGAUUUCGACAGAUUUCUUGUCGCACAGACAGCAUGCCAAGCGCUGCUUGUAAAACAGCAACAAAAAUAACUGUAAACAACGCAGAUUACGCUCCAGCUUACGCUAAAGCCGCGUGAGUUAAUCUCCUUUUGGAGCUGGACUGAUUAGAAUUUCUAGCGUUUUAAUCACUCCAUAACCUUAAGCUAGACGCUUUUAAAAGGUGGUUCGCCUUUUAAACUAAGAAACAAGAACUCUUGAAACUACCUCAAGGUUUUAGAAAGUUGGACCAGAGCUAGUUUUAAGGCUAAAAAACUAACCAAUUUUCUAAGCAUUGUAGAAGUUUGUGUUUAGGGCAAGAUUUUUGGACUGGGGUUCGAUUCCCCACAGCUCCACCA